rnacentral:lncRNA from 1 species
CUCUUAGCCUCAGAGUGGAAGCUGAGAAAGUUGGUUGAAGGAGGUACAAUAUGGAGUGGCCCAGAAUUUUAAGACAAAGACCAAGUCCUGGUCACCAAAACAUCAAAGUCAGGCAGAUCUGGGUCCAUUUCUGUGCACCGUGUUCCUGUGAGAGCAAGAAGGAUCAGUACAGGAGAAAGUGCUUCAUAAAUUGCCAAUUGUCUUCAAAUACAAAGAGAUGGGCAGACAUCCCAAGCCUGCCCAGGCAGCGUCUUCUACCCCUCUGAAGCAGGGACUGGCCCAGGGAGGCACAAGACUCAGGCCACACCAGCGAGAGUCAGCCCAAGAACAACUGGGAAAGGGGUUCUUUUCUUCCCUGGAGUUGCUGAACUGGUAAAGUGUGGGCCGCCAGCUGCAGGAGGCCAUUUUACCAAUACUUAGAGAAAUGCACCCAAGGAGGAAGCUUGGUGAGAGCAAAGCAAAGCCAAGAGAUGGAAAGAAACUUGCCUCAGGGCCUUUGAACAGACUCUUCUGUCUGCUCACUCACCUGUACCUGAAUCUCCACCUCUGAUGCAUGUUUACUUGGGCCAAUGAAAUCCUCUUUUGUUUAAGCCAAGGUUACGUAUAUCCCCUUGACAGCAUUCAGCACUGCGUCUUCACGUAUCACCGGCCUAUCUGGGCUCCCAGCACCUCAGGCGUUCCUUGAGCCCAGGAUCACCUAUGAGUCAUCUUUAGACAUUCCGCACCGAAAACAAAGUCAGACGCAGAAAUAAAUAUUCGUGGAGUCAGGAGCUGAAUGAAUGAAAUCAGCUCAUCCCGUUCUCCUGGACGUGGAGGAGUCGCGUGGCCAUCUCGUGUAGGGAAGGACCCAUUGGUCGGCUCUUUUUGGUGCCCAUGCUCAACAGCCUUUCGGAGACAAUGGGGGGAAGGAGCACAAGGACCUUCUGCGAGGCCAGCCUUCAAGACUCUGGCUUCUUUCUGUCUCUAGGACAUUGAGGACAGUCAGUGGGACAAUGACGGAGCCCCUCUGUCUGGAAGCCACUUUCAUUUUCCCCACAGAGCCCCGAGGCCCUGAUUCUCAGGUUUAAUGAUUUUUUCCCUCUGAUGAGUAAAGUUGGAAAUAAUGAAUUGUGAUUGUUGCCCAUUGUUCUCACUAUGAAUACUUUUUCUCUAGAAGGAAAAAAAAUCACAUUUUUUCAACAAAGGAAACAUACAGAGCUGAUGAAGGUUCCGGGAGGUUUUCAGUGAAAUCUUGUGCCAACCUACUGUUUAUGUCUCCGAGGGAGGAAGCGGGAGCUAGCCGUGCUCCCUCCCCUCCGUGAAGCGGACUGGGUGGGACGGGGCUUCUCUGGGUCCCUGCCCCUCAAGCCACUUGGAAACAGAUGCCCAAAAGUCGGCAAGAUCCUCAGGGACUUUCUUUCCUUACAGCAGAGGCCCUCGUGGGUGUAGGUUCCUGGGGCUUUAGAAACCAAAGAACUCCCCUAAACAGAGGCCUGGAAUCUGUGGGUGACAACUGGGUGCUAUUUGGAGAGUGAAUAAAGG